GAUGAACGCUGGCGGCGUGCUUAACACAUGCAAGUCGAACGGUGAAGGCGGAGCUUGCUCUGCUGGAUCAGUGGCGAACGGGUGAGUAACACGUGAGCAAUCUGCCCCUGACUCUGGGAUAAGCGCUGGAAACGGCGUCUAAUACUGGAUACGAGCUGCGAAGGCAUCUUCAGCAGCUGGAAAGAAUUUCGGUCAGGGAUGAGCUCGCGGCCUAUCAGCUUGUUGGUGAGGUAAUGGCUCACCAAGGCGUCGACGGGUAGCCGGCCUGAGAGGGUGACCGGCCACACUGGGACUGAGACACGGCCCAGACUCCUACGGGAGGCAGCAGUGGGGAAUAUUGCACAGUGGGCGAAAGCCUGAUGCAGCAACGCCGCGUGAGGGACGACGGCCUUCGGGUUGUAAACCUCUUUUAGCAGGGAAGAAGCGAAAGUGACGGUACCUGCAGAAAAAGCGCCGGCUAACUACGUG
rnacentral:rRNA from 1 species